UUGGAGGGCAAGUCUGGUGCCAGCAGCCGCGGUAAUUCCAGCUCCAAUAGCGUAUAUUAAAGUUGCUGCAGUUAAAAAGCUCGUAGUUGAAUUUCGGGACCAUCAUGUCGGUCGUGCCUCGGUACGUACUGGUAUUGUUGGUUUCUCCCUUCUGACGAACCAUGAUGUCAUUUAUUUGGUGUUGUGGGGAAUCAGGACUGUUACUUUGAAAAAAUUAGAGUGUUUAAAGCAGGCUCACGCUUGAAUACAUUAGCAUGGAAUAAUGAAAUAGGACGUUUGAUUCUAUUUUGUUGGUUUCUAGGAUCGACGUAAUGAUUAAUAGGGAUAGUUGGGGGCAUUAGUAUUCAAUUGUCAGAGGUGAAAUUCUUGGAUUUAUUGAAGACUAACUACUGCGAAAGCACUUGCCAAGGAUGUUUUCAUUAAUCAAGAACGAAAGUUAGGGGAUCGAAGACGAUCAGAUACCGUCGUAGUCUUAACCAUAAACUAUGCCGACUAGGGAUCGGAUGAUGUUAAUUUUUUAAUGACUCAUUCGGCGCCUUACGGGAAAC
rnacentral:rRNA from 1 species